rnacentral:misc_RNA from 1 species
GAUGAAGAACGCAGUGAAAUGCGAUACUUGGUGUGAAUUGCAGAAUCCCGUGAACCAUCGAGUCUUUGAACGCAAGUUGCGCCCGAAGCCAUUAGGCCGAGGGCACGCCUGCCUGGGCGUCACACGUCGUUGCCCCCCCAUCUACUCCUUCGGGAUUGCGGGGGGCGGAUGAUGGCCUCCCGUGCGCCUCGUCGCGCGGUUGGCAUAAAUGCCAAGUCCUCGGCGACGCACGCCACGACAAUCGGUGGUUGCGAAACCUCGGUUGCCCGUCGUGUGCGGUCGUCGCGCAUCGAGGGCUCGAAAAAAUUGCCGGGCUCCGGCUCGGCUUUCAACGCGACCCCAGGUCAGGCGGGGUUACCCGCUGAAUUUAAGUAUAUCAAUAAGCGGAGGA